rnacentral:lncRNA from 1 species
CCCAUUUCACAGCAGUAACAAACCUUUUGCCCAAUUGUUAAGUGUUUGCAUUCUUAUUUGAUACAUUACGCUCGUUCGUGUUCACAAUAUGCGGAUUGCAUUAACAGGUGUGUGGUUCGCACACAAAAACUGCACCAACAAUAUUAUCGACACUGCAAAAGUUUUAUUUAUACUGUAUUCCUGUUACGUAAUGUUGAUAUUUUAGCGAUACUUUAACAUUGCGAUAUAAGCGGGAGGUUUGGCUAGCCAAUAAAACUACCAAGUUUUGAAUAUGGCAGUUGUUAUCAAAUAGUCCGUUUCUAUGAAUGUUGGCGUCUGUGUUUGUUACAGUUCAGUGUUUCUGUUGUUCCGUUUUAUUCCUCUUAUAGUUGACGUGUUUCUCUCAGUUUACGUUUGUGACCCAGAUUUAGGUCAGUUAAUAGUAAGUCGAUUUAUGACUAUUGGAUAGCGGUAUACUUCUAUUGCCUUUAUUUACGGUCACCAUUAUAAAUUAGUUGACCCACUCUAUAUGUCUGUGUCUCAACUCACUACCAAAAUCUUUUUUCAGUCUGAUAUCUUUAGAUUCCGUAAUAGUUGCCCAUAAUCUGUAAUGUUCUGAGUGUGCACUAUUUUCUAUUCUGUUAUGUUGAGUGUAUACUUGCAAGGCGGGUCAUGUUUAGCAGUUUUCAAUGUCAACGCAACCAAUCUCGCUACUUUUGAAGUUCAUGUGAUUCCCUCCGGGUUUUUUUUGUUUUUUAUUUGUCUUCUUAAUCACGGCCGACACUCGGCUAACCGAGAGAUUGAUCGGUUAAUCUAUAUUGAGUAUGCGGCUAUAUCGGCAGUGGGUCUGUUAAUCGGGUUGGCUAAAGUCUGUUAAUCAGGUGUUAUCGAGAAAAUCAUUGAAAACUCAGAAUGUUUCAUUGUAUAACCUUUUAAAUAUAUGUUUAUCAUAAAAAAUAUUUAUGUCUGACAAAACUAUUCAAUGUACUGAAUCCAGUGGUGUAAUUAUUAUUUUUCUAGCUUCUAUGUACGAUCUAUAAAAUGAAAAGGCAAAUUACUCAUCAGUAAAUUUAUACACAUUUUACACACACAAAAUGUACACAAAAUGACACUUGGGUUGAAUUUACUUGCAUGCACUAUUUUGAACAUCGAAAAAAGACAGGCAUUAUGAGUGUUAACCAAAUUGAUAUCAUUUUGUGAAAAAUCUACACGAAAAUCUGUAUUUUGGUGACAUAAAUCAAUCUUUAUUAAAAACCUGGUCUGUUAAUGGGUCGGAUGUAUAAAACCCGGUCUGUUAAUUAGUCUGUUAAGAGUUAUGAAUGACAAUAAAAGUAUAAUUUUAUUACUUUAUGGUGUGUUCAUUUGGUAGGCUCAAGACGAGCGGCUAAAAUAUACGGAAACAACACUUGAGCAAUGGAACAUAAAAUAUAUACGGAAACAAAACAUGAGCAAUGGAAUAUAAAAUAUACGGAACAAAACACAUGAACAAUAACAAUGUAGGCAAUGGAUAUUGAAAAUUGAUAAAAAUGGUUUCAAAAAGUGUUAAAUUAAAGUAAAAUUGAUUUUAUCCGAGAAUGGUCGCAUAUAUCAUGUGGAUUCUGUUUAAUUGUCAUGAAUGACACCAAUUUGUCAUCUACAUUGGUAACCAGUAUAUAAAUCAGAGAUUAACGUCGUAAUGUAACUAAACAUCAGUAUAUUGGGAUGCCUAAAUAUAAAGAAUAGAGAAAGAAUAAUGGGUAAGAUAAAUAAAAUGUAGAGAAAAGUAACAUAACCAUUUAAAGAAUACAGAAAUAAACAACACCCCCAAUCCGUACCCUCAUGGUAUACACGAGAAUCUGGAUGGAGAUACAGAAUACAAAAUAAAAGAUAAGGACAGUAGAGAGUGAUGCAUUGCUAAAAAAGAGAAGAAAACAAAUUGUUUAAGAAUAAAGACAUGAAACCCCCUGGGUGUUGAAACAGUAACGGAUUGCGAUGUACUCAUAUUGGUGACAAAUGCUUGACGUUUACAUGUGGACACCUGCAGUUCUCCUCUGCACAUAUGUAGAAAAGGAACUAAACGGAAUAAAAUGAAUUAAAUUUUAAUACAACCAAAUGUAGCUGCAUUCGCUCCUUUCCAUUUACUUCUUUAGAAUGAUUUGUAAACAACAGAUGAUUAAGUAAUACAAGAAAAAAAAACCAAUUGGAUGAUGCUGAGGAAUUAGGAUUAAGGUGGUACCGAACACUUUCACUAAAAUCAAUGUGGUUCGUUUAAUUUGGAUAAAAUUUUGACAAAGUAUUUAAUUUGAACCUUUAACAGAAAUAUAAAAAUUUCAAAAAAUUUGAACCAACCGUUUUGUCAGAAAAAUUAACUGGUUAUAUAGCAGUUUGACAAACACCAAUUUUGAUCUUCGAGAAGCUUAUUAUUCCCUUUACAACACAACGUAAUUAAAACGUAUCACUGACUUUACAGAGUUAUCUCCCUGUAGUGUUGGGUACCACCUAAACGUCCAGUGACAAAUGUCAUGUGCAUAUGAAAACGACAACACGUUAUAUAUGUACCCUGUGUUGUAUUAGAAAGACACGUUCAAUCGGAUUUGAGAACAUGCUACUUUGAGCAGACACAAAAAUUAAGGCUGAUUGAAAUCGUUAAUAAUAAAUUCAUGCAUAUUCCAGCGACCAACCCAGAUCAC